rnacentral:lncRNA from 1 species
AAAUAAAAGGCUAUUAAAUUAAAAAAAAAAAAAAAAAAAAAAAAACAAAUGCUGCAAAAAAAAAAAAAAAAUGUAAAUUUCCACUCACCAUGAGGAGCAGACACCCAGAAUCCUCUCUUCUCCUGGAGUUGGAGUAUGGAAGGGUUUCCAUCCUUCUCCCAUAUUACCACUGAAAAGCUACAUAGACGCUUUUGGAAAUAACGUAGGAGUAGGAAUUCAUUACCCUUAAGAUCAUUAAGUUUAAGAAGCGGGGUAACUCUUUAUCAUGGAGAAGGGUUUUGAAAAUGUUGAUGCUCAUGAUUGAGAAUUCCAGAAAUGUGGUUUGGAGAAGAUACUGUUGCCCUUGUUGGUUUAAACGGUAAUGGCUAACCCUUUCACAGCCUUUAAGGGUUCCAUUCUUACUUGUUCCUUACAACGCCGCGAUGAUGGAGGUAGGAAAAACUGGCCCCAUCAGAGACUGGCGCAAUGCUAUCGCUUCAGGCUAAGAUCACGUGUCCCCAAUCUCAUCAACGCAUGCGCAAAUGACUCCUCAACGUUGACUGACUAGGCCCAAAUCCUUGGCUAAAAAAACCUCCCCUUUAACUGGAAGACCCUGUGAGGCGGCUGUCCUCACACAGUACUGUAGAUGACUCAGCAAAACUGAUGACAUAUAAGAAACCCACGUCACUGGGUACCAAAACCUCAUCCCGGUCAUUGCUGCUUCAGUUGAAAAAGCCACGUGUCCUCAGUGAUGCCCGCGGCGCCUGCGCAGAUGACCCCCAGCCAGUCGUGCCCUACCACGCUCUUGAAGGCACACCCUUGGACAAGAGAAUGACCUUAUUCCUCUCCUGUGCCCAACAAAAGACUAUGACGUGGGCCAGGACCGCCUUGCUUCCACCUAAGCUGACAUAGAAGAGGACAUGGCAGUCUGCUCCAAGCUAAACUUGUGCAAGUCCAGUAAGAUGACCACAACUGAUUGGAUUUAGAUAUCCUAGAACAAGCACCAAAAUGUUUCUGUACUAUUUGGGCCAUUUAUUCCAAGUGCACAAGCCCUCACUACAUGCCCUUAUUUUAAAUCCAGCCUUCUCCCAUUGUUUCACUUUCUGGGGCAACUAAGGAUUCCUGGGUUGGGAGCGCCAGAACCCUGACCUGAACCUUCCUUGGAGGGAUUGCACGAGCCACUUUUGUGUCCACCUGCCUAAGCCACAGUAUCAAAGCAACUAGACAGGGGCUCAGAUCUCAAUGACAUUGACCCAAUGCCUGACCUUUGCUUAUUAAGAUGGUCCUGAAGACCUUCCUCACGGGAUGACCCACUGUGCUCCAGUCACCAGAGUCUCUCACUGGUUGCUUUGAGCUUCAUGGUCAGGCAGAUAUUUG